rnacentral:lncRNA from 1 species
AGCUCCGAGCAACCGGAGCCGGACCCUCCGGGGCCGGGAGAGCCGCCGGCGCCGGGGCGACCCCGCGGGGCUCCCCGGGGCCGUGCCGCUCAGUCUCCACCCGCCGCCUGCGCGGAGGGGCGGCCGGGCAGCGCCGGGGCGCUCCGCCGCGGGCCGGGCGCGGCAGGCAGGGCAGGGCGAGGCGGGCAGCCCCGCAUAUUCCCCCGCCUCGCACGGCCACGGAGGCGCCGCGCCCGUGAAGGGGGGGUUGGAGAGGGGCCGGGACCGGGACCCGCCGCUCGCUUCGCCCCCUGCCCGGUCCCGCUCAGCGUCGCCGAGGGAGCUCCGGGCCCCCUCCGGGAGGGCACCGCUGCUCCAUGGCGGCCGCUUGGGCGGGCAGCGCUCCCCUCACGGCCGCCGCCGCCGCCGCUGCUGCUGCUGCUGCCGCCGCCGCCGGGCGGGGCCGGGCCGCUGUGGAAGGGGUGUGUGUGGAGGGGGGGGGGGGCGGCGCUCGCCACCAUUUUCCGCCGCCGGGCGGGGACGGGGUAACGGAGCGGGCCGGGCCCGGUGCUGCUCCACAGCCGCUUCUUGGUGUGCCCCCCCCUCUGCUAUCAGCGCCGAGCCGCUCCCCGCGCCUCCUUAUCGCGUCCCCACAGGCGCUGCCUGCCCCCCCCGUCCCUCCUGUGUCCCCCCCUUGUCCCUCCUGUGUCCCCUCCUGUCCCUCUUGUCCCCUCUUCGCUCCUGGCGGCGGAGCGGGCCCAGGCGCCCCACGGGGACCGGCUUCGGGUCCUGGCGCUGUCAGUAAGAGGCCCCCCGGCCCCCAGCCUCUCCCCGGGGCCACUCUCAUGGAAACACCGCUGGGGACAGCGAGAGGAAGGCAGGAGGGCAGCUGGGGGUCCCCAGUAAUGGGCAGUGCUGCUGGGGCUCCUGGCGAGCUUUCUGUGCGCUCUGCCAAGCGUACCCCGAGUUACUGCACGAGGGGUGGUCCAAGAAGGAAAUUUGACUUCCAUCUCGUCUAAAGAAGGGCUGGGGACCUAUGUGCUGCAGAACCAUGAAGACCUCGUACAUGCUCCUUUACCUUGAUGACACCAUGACUUAGGUGAUGCUGCAAAAUAGGGGUUAUGAAGCCAAUGCUACAGAGAAACAUAAAAUAAAAUAGAAUAAAAUAAAUAAAAUAAAAUAAAAAUAAAAUAAAAGUUGGUAUACCGGCUCAUUUAUUUAGACAACCUGUCUUCACUGCACAGUUUCUGUGGGAAGAUCCUUAGGGAUAAGGGUUUUCUCUUCCAUGGAAUCACCCUCAGAAUAGCCUGAGCUAUUCGUAUAACCUCACAGGCGGGUUUCCUUUUAGGGUGACACUCAGUACAGGAUUUUCCUGCAUUAUUAUGAGGAAAUUAUAGAGAUUUGGAAAAAAUCAUUUGUCAUUUGUGCAAUGUGUGUGAACACUGCAAUGCAUUUUUUUUUUUUUCAAAAGUACAGUUGCAACUUGCAACAUAUUUUAUAUUUAGUGUUUUGGAUUAUUCAACUGAAAAGAGGUGGGGAUGAGAAUUUAUA